GGCGGAUGUAGCCAAGUGGAUCANGGCAGUGGAUUG
rnacentral:tRNA from 1 species